GCCUCGGUGGCUCAGCUGGCAGAGCGCGUCCUUGGUAAGGACGAAGUCAGGGGUUCAAAUCCCCUCCGAGGCU
rnacentral:tRNA from 1 species